rnacentral:rRNA from 1 species
GCCGCAGUAUUCUGACUGUGCGAAGGUAGCAUAAUCAUUAGUCUUUUAAUUGAAGGCUUGUAUGAAAGGUCGAACGAGUGAUAAGCUGUCUCGAAAAAAAAUGUUGAAUUUAACUUUAAAGUGAAAAGGCUUUAAUGCUCUAGAAAGACGAUAAGACCCUAUAAAUCUUUACAUUUUGUUUUGUUGGGGCAACAGAGAUAUAAUUAACUAAUUGUUUUAUAUUAAAAACAGAUAUUUUUGAUAGUAAAUGAUCCUUUUUAAAGAUUAAGAGAUUAAGUUACUUUAGGGAUAACAGCGUUAUUUUUCUUGAGAGUCCUCAUCGAAAAAAAAGUUUGCGACCUCGA